UAAACUGUUGAGUUGUACAGUGAUGUUGUAAACUGAUUCUGGUUUGUGUGGAAUGUAUAUUGUUGAUGCUGUUGAAUAAUUAUGUGAUAUAGUGAGUUGUUUAUGGUUUGAAGGGGGACUGUAAGUAUGUUAUUAUUGUUGUUCCAUCAAUUGUAUGCCAUGCAUCAUAAGUCGUUGUUGUUGAAAGAGGCAGAUUACAAGUCUAAAAUGAUGGGUCGAUAACUUGUCCCGAACCUAGAAGGGUGUUUC
rnacentral:lncRNA from 1 species